rnacentral:rRNA from 1 species
GACGAACGCUGGCGGCGUGCCUAAUACAUGCAAGUAGAACGCACAGUUUAUACCGUAGCUUGCUACACCAUAGACUGUGAGUUGCGGACGGGUGAGUAACGCGUAGGUAACCUGCCUGGUAGCGGGGGAUAACUAUUGGAAACGAUAGCUAAUACCGCAUAAUAUUAAUUAUUGCAUGAUAAUUAAUUGAAAGGUGCAAUUGCACCACUACCAGAUGGACCUGCGUUGUAUUAGCUAGUAGGUGAGGUAACGGCUCACCUAGGCGACGAUACAUAGCCGACCUGAGAGGGUGAUCGGCCACCCUGGGACUGAGACACGGCCCAGACUCCUACGGGAGGCAGCAGUAGGGAAUCUUCGGCAAUGGACGAAAGUCUGACCGAGCAACGCCGCGUGAGUGAAGAAGGUUUUCGGAUCGUAAAGCUCUGUUGUAAGAGAAGAACGGGUGUGAGAGUGGAAAGUUCACACUGUGACGGUAUCUGACCAGAAAGGGACGGCUAACUACGUG